UCAAUGCAUUAUGGAUGAACCUUUAUUGCCGAGCGUCGUCACUCUCUUUCACCGACAGGAAUUUCUUUCCUCGCAAUCAUUCGUCUCACUGCACUGACUUAUCGGCUCACAAUCACAUAUACAACCAUUGAAAAUUGGCUCGAUGGCAUUUCGGAUCAGUUGGGCCUAAUUGGGCCUCUCUUGAUUGGCUUUCGAAUCGCCAUUACCGUUUACUCACUCGACUCUGCUAGUUUCUUGUUGCGAACGCGAAUCGGCUAUUAAAAUCCAAUUAAAUUAAACACCAUCGACUGCUUAUUGAUACUUAUGUAUUUUCAUGGACAGUCCCUUAUGGCGAAUCCACAAUCUUACUACGUUGUUAAUUUCGUCACUUGUCAUUCGCAGAAGGAGCAUCGAUUACUCCCAAUACCAUCUUUGACAGACUGAGAAUGGCCUUCAGGUGCAGUCCGGUUAUAUUAUUUUCUGCCCUUGACAUCUUUAUGGGAUCACGGAAUGUUAACAGUUCGUCAAUUACACAGUUUCCAUGUAGCUAUUGAUAAAAACCUGUCAAAAUCGAAUUGAGCAGCAGCAAUCAUCAAAGUGAAUCCCUGUACCUGCAGGAUGCUGGACUGUAUCAUAAAUAAUCCAACGUCCCGUUUAAUUAAGAGGGGUCGUUUAAUAUUGAGAUAUAUAUAUAUAUUAAAAAUGGUCCGUGACAGUGAAAAGUAGAAAAGAGAUAGAAAGGGAAGAUUAACCAUCAAAACAGUUAUGGGAUUCUGUGUAUCGGAUAAAAAUUUUUCAUACCUCACAGAGAUGGCCCAUUCGUGUAAUUUACUAGAUUCCCAUAAUUUGCCUAAUUUUCUUUUUCUCUCAUAGUCCCAAUCAAGUGGAAUCAUCCGUUAGAAAUCUUACUAAAUGAAUUACUGUACCCGGAGAUUUCCUGUAUUUUAAAUCAAGAACUAAGCAGAUUUAUUAGAUGCUGAAAUCUUUUGGUUAUUACCGUGAAAUUCCAUUGAGAUUAGUUCAGCAGUAUUCUGGAAGAUCUCUGAGAUUUAUGUUAUACUGAUCUAAGCUAUUUCUAGUAUCAUAUAUGAUGUCCAGUACCAUGUGAACUCAACGGUACUGUAUUGUAUCAGGUAGCCUAAUGCUCAGUACAGGGGAGUAUAUCCCAUAACAAAUUGUACCUGCUUUAAUUUUAUCGGACUCAGUGAUUUAAUAAUGUCAUUCGUUACGACACGAAAGCCGCCAUUAACAUUAGUUUUAUAUGUAGUAUUAUACUGUACCAUAUAAUAGCCAUACUGGACAGUAGUCAAUACGAUAGACUCUAUUUAACUAAAUAGAGUCGCUACUAUGAGGACCGCUUUAUUAUAUGUAUGCUUACAGAUUGUACAUAUAUUUAUGGUCCACAAUUUAUGUACCUAAGUGUAUUAAAUGCAACGUCUCCGUAUGUGACAGUUGCAUUUGACAUUAUGUGUAAAUAUUUGUAUCUCUUACAGAUUUUUUCUUACUAUCGUUAUAUGCUGGAUGAUCUUGAUAUUUUUUUAUGUACAGCUACAGCUAACCGGUACAGUUGAAUUUGUGUCAUGUACCAAACGGUAUUUUGAUAUUUUCAUGUAAAAAUGAUGAAAAUGAAAAUUUGUCAGGAUUCUUAUGAAGCUAACGUGACAGGGGUUGUCCUCUGCUUUAAUAGAAUCUAUGGGUUACUCGGGUGACUUUUUUACGGAGCUUUUUUACAAGGGAUCAUUACGUGUCUCUUAGGUGCAGUCACUGUACACAAUGUAUCAGCAGAGCGAUGGAGUUCUUAUAGACUCUUAAGACACUACAAGAGUAAGUCCCUUGGGACUGAUGGAAUCUUACGAUACACAAGUGACUUCUUUACCGUGCUUGUUUGGUCUAUUCUAAUAAGGCCUCUGACAUUUGUGCGUUUACGUGCUGUAAAAGUGACUUCUUUGCUAUCGGUAAGGCCCCAGAUGUUCUGACAGCGAAAUUAUCGUCGUUAGCAAUUACGCGCGGUUUGUUGCGUGGGGCCCAGGGAUACCACAGGUCUCAUUACCCGCGACAAGGGUCCACAACAUGCCAAGAAAAGAUGCCGACAUGCGACCCGAGCUGCCCUGCCAAUUACGAACACUCGGUCCAAAUAAAUUAUAACGAAUGCUGGGCCUUGCCGGUGGGUCCCAAUUGAAAUUUUACCGACGAUUAAAUCCCAUCUCCACCUACCAACACGCCGCCAUAUUAUUACACUCAUACGAGAGACUUUAUGGCUCUUCGUCACAGUCGGUUUGUACACUCGAAUAUGUAAAUCGAUUCUAUCUGCCUCUUAAAAUCAGUUGAGGCCACCGAUAAACUGUUCUCCUCAUUCUUUCUCUUUACAGUAGUGUCCCGCUUAGAUUAUUCUCGAUAACUCGGCGCUUCCCCUUCUGCGCUUUACUGCUGUCGUCCUGGUCAGUCACCCCACUCUUCUGCGCUUUGGCUUCUCUAUACAUAACCUGACACGACUAACGUAGUAGCCAGCAGAAGCCAAGCAAUACGAAUAUAUUUAUAUUUUCUAUUUAAAGCAUACCUGUCAAUUCGACAAUGACAGUCUCACGUAACAGGGGUACCCCGUAAGUCAGCACUUGGGAAUAUUUAUGUCCCCUAGGCUCUCGUAGUCGUGCGCUUAACGUGAGGCUACUGUAUUUUUAAUUCCUGACUUCUGCAGUCAAACUAUGCCUUUCAUGCAUUAGAUGCAGGUACAAAGAGAUACCUGAUGUACAAGUGCAUAAGGCAGUCUUUUAAGACAGUUACAGAUAAUUCAAUUACUUCCUACAAUCUUUUUGACAGGUUCACUAUUUCAUUGUAACAUCCGAAGAGCGAAAUCCUUUUUUUCACUAUUAAAUUAUCCCACGUGCCGCAACCGUGAAGAAUGGCUAACGACCAACCGAUCACGUACUUUACAAUAAAAUCGUUCAAUAUCACACAAGAUUGCUCUGCGUGUCCAAGUGUCGCUUUAUCUUGGCACGUCCCAUCUCAUCUUGACUCGUUUCUCUCUUGAGUCAUUAUGAAAAAGAGGUGAAAACAUGUUUGCCUCGGUUACACAGUUCCGCUACUACCCGCAGUAUAGAAACGGCGGCAGACAGGCAACAGCAGCAGCAGCAGCAGCUGUCCUGUAGAAGAAGAAAGAGAAGGGAGGUAAAUAAAAGUUAUAACAGCCUCUCUUUAUCCUUAUCUUACCUUCAACUCGAACGUCUUAUUGGCGAGAGGUAAAGCAACUGCUUGUGUAUACCAAAGGGGAAAGAGAAAGAUACAUACAGAAUCUUACUGUUCCCUUGAUGCGGACAAAUAUUGACCGUUACCGACUCGAAGGUGUCAUUUGUCGUAACAGCCGUCAUUCCGUCAUCCAGUCGUCCUGCCAUACGGGACAGUACUGACAACUCUCCGGUCGUAAAACACAGCCAGAACGUUAUUACUCUUGACAAGGUACUUGUGCAAGUCCGAUUGUUGCAGACCUGUAAAAAAUAUUUUUUUAAGGAAAUUAAAUCAGGCUGAUAUUCCUAUUGAGAUAAUUCUAACGAGACUCUGCACCAGAUGGAUUCCAUUGGAUAUUCCAAGUUUGGUAUCGUGGUACGGUAUUAGGGACAUUAAUCAUCCUGGCAGUGGGAGUACGUAACUUAGCAGUUCCCUGGUUACUGAUAAAAAGAACGUAAUCGAUUAUAAAUGGAAAAAUUGUAAGAAUCAGCAG